rnacentral:miRNA from 1 species
CGAGGUGUUGCACAGUUAAUAUUG